AUGGAAGGAUGGAAACUUGCAAAAUUCACGAUCUUCUUCGCCAAUUAUGCCUAAGAGAAGCUCAUACUGAAAAUGUUGUGCAUAUCACAGUUGAAGUUGCUUAAGGUGUUGGACGUGUUAUCAGUCCGAAACAGAUUAUGCUUCCAGAUAGCAUUUUGAA